CUUGAAUCUUACCCGAUUGAUGUCCUCUCAUUUCAUGCAAGCACAUGUGGUGAAGGAAUGGACCCUGCUCAUCAUAGCGAUGCAGCCAGUAUGACAAGGACAGAGGAAAUGCCAGGACCUUCAGUUCAACGAUUGCCAGCAACAGUUUCAGCAGCAUGGGCCAAUGAAGUGGACCCCCGGAAGGCAUGUCAGUUGUUCAGAGAGGAACUGCUGGAACGUAACUAUGAAUGUCCACGCCUCUUUCUAUCAAUCGACAUGUUUGACGCAGAAGAAGAAACGGAC